AGUAAACCAGGCAGUCGCGGUCAACGGUCGAAAGACCCUGUCCGAGGAAAGUCCGGGCUUCACAGAGCGAGGAUAACGGCUAACGGCCGCCGGGGGCGACCCUAGGGAUAGUGCAACAGAAAAGAACCGCGAAUUUCUGUGAUACAGAAACGCAAGGGUGGAAAGGCGAGGUAAGAGCUCACCAAGAUGGGGGAGACCUCAUCGUUGUGUAAACCCUAUCCGAAGCAACACCGUGGAGGGACAUACAGCUUGCUCGGCUGUCCCGUGGAGGUGGCACCGAGCCGUCGCGGCAACGCGCGGCCAAGAUAGAUGACUGUCGAAUACAGAACCCGGCUUAUAGAUUUACUCA
rnacentral:RNase_P_RNA from 1 species